AGUGGGAUAGCUGGGUCAAUUGGUGGUCCCAUUCCAAGUUUUCUAAGGAAUCUCUGUAUUGCUUUCCAGAAUGUUUGUACCAAUUUGUAGUCUCACUAGCAAU
rnacentral:pre_miRNA from 1 species